AGACCCGAAACCCGGUGAUCUAGCCAUGGGCAGGUUGAAGGUUGGGUAACACUAACUGGAGGACCGAACCGACUAAUGUUGAAAAAUUAGCGGAUGACCUGUGGCUGGGGGUGAAAGGCCAAUCAAACCGGGAGAUAGCUGGUUCUCCCCGAAAGCUAUUUAGGUAGCGCCUCGUGAAUUCAUCUCCGGGGGUAGAGCACUGUUUCGGCUAGGGGGCCAUCCCGGCUUACCAACCCGAUGCAAACUGCGAAUACCGGAGAAUGUUAUCACGGGAGACACACGGCGGGUGCUAACGUCCGUCGUGAAGAGGGAAACAACCCAGACCGCCAGCUAAGGUCCCAAAGUCAUGGUUAAGUGGGAAACGAUGUGGGAAGGCCCAGACAGCCAGGAUGUUGGCUUAGAAGCAGCCAUCAUUUAAAGAAAGCGUAAUAGCUCACUGGUCGAGUCGGCCUGC
rnacentral:rRNA from 1 species